ACCAGGGUUAGGGAUAGGUCUGUUACCAGGGUUAGGGAUAGGUCUGUUACCAGGGUUAGGGAUAGGUCUGUUACCAGGGUUAGGGAUAGGUCUGUUACCAGGGUUAGGUCUGUUACCAGGGUUAGUUAUAGGUCUGUUACCAGGGUUAGGUCUGUUACCAGGGUUAGGGAUAGAUCUGUUACC